rnacentral:lncRNA from 1 species
UUGGCUCCUAAUAAGUACUGCAUGAAUGCAUUCUACCUAAUUUAUAGGAAAAUCUUAUGGGCCUCAAUUAUUAUAUUCUAUCUUACUAUGUAGUUGAAUCUGUUGGUUUCAGUUAUUAAAAUUAAACAGAGCAUUAUACUACUGAUAUGUAUGUCCCGACUGCUUAUAAUUUCUACAUACUGGAGCAUAUUCAUCACUGGCUCUUAGAUUGGGACAUUCACUCGCAUAAUUUCAUAUCUACCUACAAUAAUAACAUCAAAGUAAUCUUCUUCCAACUCCAUCAGGAAUAUUGGAUGUUUCUACUAGUAUAUAUGGGCUGGGCCUGUUCUAAGUUGGAUGGAUAAAUGAUCCCAACUGUCCAAUUGGUACUAUAGAAUCUGAAAUUGAUUUUUUAAUAGGUGGAUAUUAAGAAUAUCCUUGUUUUUUUUGCUCAAUACUUUGAAAAUUGGGUCCAAAUUUUUGAUUAUAUAUAAAAUUUUAAAAAUUAAAAAAAUUCUUAUUUUAUUUAUUUGAAUGAUUUUUGCUCCAACCAAACCUAUUUCCUAUUUGGACUUGAU